rnacentral:lncRNA from 1 species
GGGACACCUCACUCUCUGGCAGGCUCCUGCUGGCUGGAGAUUGUUAACAUCGCCAAUCAGAUGUUAAUUGAAUGCAAAGGAAUAGGAAAUAAAUUCUGGUUCUGAAGGGGCAGCUGGAAAGGUGUUGGGCUUCUCAGAUUCCAACCUACAUUACAAAGCAGGCCUAAAGCCAAGCAUACUCCUUGCCAGAAGAAACGGAAAGCCCCUCUCCCGUUUUUAGAAUCAGGCUGGAAAACACGGCUCCCAGAAGGUGGGGUUAGAAAACAAGAGCUUGCGAGGCGGCGCCCUGUGGUCCCUCGAGGAAAUAGUAGAGAGACAAAGAGGGCCUGCUCCUGGGAAGCCCUAAAUUCGAAGCCAAUCCUUCCUCCUAGACAUGACCACAACUUUAAAGGGCAGGGCGCACACCUCCCCUCCCGGAUCUCUAGGACAAAGGCAGGUCGAGGGGCAGCCAAAGAGGCGCAGAGAAGAAUGACAAGGUGCCCAGCAAGCGGCAGGAUCAAAGCCUGGGUCUCUAAUUCCCAGGCUGGAGAUUCUGGGCUGCCUGCUCCUCCUGCACGGG